UACGUAGGGACCAAGCGUUGUUCGGAUUUACUGGGCGUAAAGGGCGCGUAGGCGGCGCGGUAAGUCACUUGUGAAAUCUCUGAGCUUAACUCAGAACGGCCAAGUGAUACUGCAGUGCUAGAGUGUGGAAGGGGCAAUCGGAAUUCUUGGUGUAGCGGUGAAAUGCGUAGAUAUCGAGAGGGACACCUGCGGCGAAGGCGGGUUGCUGGGCCGACACUGACGCUGAUGCGCGAAAGCCAGGGGAGCGAACGGG
rnacentral:rRNA from 1 species